GAUCCCCACCCGCCACCGUCGCGUCUCUGGUCCGGCGAGACUAGCACCGCCCUCGAGUCCGCGACACAUCUCCGCUCUCAUCUCAUCUUCGGUCAGCGCAUCAGGCCUCCCUCCUUUUGUCAUUCCUCCCAGCCCCCACGUCUCUUCGACGUGCUCCUCUCGCUGCCUCGAACUUGACCUUCCCGCUCCUCCACCCCUACACUGCCGCUCCCUCCUGUUGUCUUCACCCACAAGCUCGGUCCCCCGACAGAAAUUGCUGGAUCCUAUGCUACUUCUCGGGCGAGGUCAUUGUGCUGCACAUGCGCUGGCAAACAACACCGUCUCUGGUUUUGUUUCCCAACACUCGGUAAGAGAGGAAAUUCUUCAGUACUAGUUUGAUGAAAGAAACAGCAGUAGUUCAUUAAUAUAAAAAAUCACAUAUUUGGAGGCACGCCAUUGUGUUUGCUACAAUGUCUCAGUACACUGGACUACUAGCUUUGCUCUGUUCAUCGUUUAUUUGUAGCUACCUUGUGCUUGAAAAUUGCUAGAGACGGCCUGCUCCCCUUGGCUUCCACUAUGCUGUUGGCCUGCUCCACUUGUCUUCCACAGCGCGACGACAGACAAAGCCUGGAUGCCGUCGUCCGAACCGCCGCACCACCCGAUAGCCACGCUCCUCCAACCACCAUCCAUCAGCGCACGACACUCCAAGCACGUCCUCCGGAUGCCCCCUCAUCUUGCCUACUCCCUGACCAUCUCCCUCCUGCCCCAUCCGUCCAGGGGAUCUUGGGAAGCACCUGAACAAUCGGCUCAUCUGCUUGCCACCGUCAUGGACACCGCCGUGGCGCUGCCCAUUGUUCUCGGUGGUCGUUCUUCCUCCUGUGUGGCCUUCUUCCUCUGGCCACUGCUGGCUCGUCGUCUGUCCUUCUUCUCCAUCUACUGAAGUUCAGCGUUUUUAAUUGGCAACAUGUGUACAGCAGCGACGGCGGAUGAUCUAUCUCCCAUGCCUCCGUCCUCAAUCUCGCUGGUGGUCAGUCCAGCUCCUGCAACCAACACAGGUCAUUGCCCCUUUUGCCACAACGGCAGCAGCACAAACAUUAGUGUGGUCGUCCUCAACCAGUUCCUCACGCGGCCUCCGCGCAAGCCCUGCUCAUGUAUGCUUACACCAAAACAGUUCAACAGGGGCAUGGGGUUCAGUUCGACGGUGAUGACCCAGGCAACUGGCCUUCACAUAACGAAGUGGUGCAGUUUGAUCUUGUGUGAAUUGGAAAUCCCCUGAUGCUGAGUGUGUCAGUACAACCCUACGCUACAAGGCACGCGUACAUCCACUUCAUGUGUUAGUCAAUAGAAUUGUGCAUUUUCUUGGUACCUUUGCUACUCUAGCCAAAAAAAAUUUGUUGUUCACUUUUCUGUGCAACAGGAGUAGAGCCGUUUGAGAUGCUCUGUUCAAGCGAGGUGGCUUAUUAUGUUUGUCAGUUUGUAAUACUUUGGCCGCAAUGUACUUGUGUAUCUUUUUCUGAACGGAGCACGGACAAAGAUCAUGUCAUUAUGAACUUCGGUUGUGAUGGUAGUACAAACUCUAUAAAAACACCAAUAA